UCCCGGGCCUUGGCUAUUUCUCGGCCGAAGUACGCGAGUCCGAGCGCUUCAGGAGGAGCAGAGGGGGAGGCCGCGGCGCUUAGGAGGACAAAAUGGACGAGGAGGUUCUGCCGGAAAUAAGUUCCAGAUGUCGCUAGGUAUGAAGGGCCGUCUCAACCGGUUUCCCACUGCUUGUGUUGGGAUAUGGUGAUGGGGAUACGAUGAUGGCCCCUGUCAAAAUGGGUAAGCCUGACCUCAGAAAGAAAAGAAGGUCAUGCCUGCUGUCAUUGUAACGCAGCGGAGGCCAUGUCGCAGAAAGGAUGGUGUCUAUAUGUACUUUGAAGGACGAGGAGGUUCUGCCGGAAAUAAGUUCCAGACGUCGCUAGGUAUGAAGGGCCGUCUUAACCGGUUUCCCACUGCUUGUGUUGGGAUAUGGUGAUGGGGAUACGGUGAUGGCCCCUGUCAAAAAGGGUAAGCCUGACCUCAGAAAGAAAAGAAGGUCAUGCCUGCUGUCAUUGUAACGCAGCGGAGGCCAUGGCACAGAAAGGAUGGUGUCUAUAUGUACUUUGAAGGACGAGGAGGUUCUGCCGGAAAUAAGUUCCAGAUGUCGCUGGGUAUGAAGGGCCGUCUCAACCGGUUUCCCACUGCUUGUGUUGGGAUAUGGUGAUGGGGAUACGGUGAUGGCCCCUGUCAAAAAGGGUAAGCCUGACCUCAAAAAGAAAAGAAGGUCAUGCCUGCUGUCAUUGUAACGCAGCGGAGGCCAUGGCGCAGAAAGGAUGGUGUCUAUAUGUUCUUUGAAGGACGAGGAGGUCCUGCCGGAAAUAAGUUCCAGAUGUCGCUCGGUAUGAAGGGCCGUCUCAACCGGUUUCCCACUGCUUGUGUUGGGAUAUGGUGAUGGGGACACAGUGAUGGCCCCUGUCAAAAAGGGUAAGCCUGACCUCAAAAAGAAAAGAAGAUCAUGCAUGCUGUCAUUGUAACGCAGCGGAGGCCAUGGCGCAGAAAGGAUGAUGUCUAUAUGUUCUUUGAAGGACGAGGAGGUUCUGCCGGAAAUAAGUUCCAGAUGUCGCUGGGUAUGAAGGGCCGUCUCAACCGGUUUCCCACUGCUUGUGUUGGGAUAUGGUGAUGGGGAUACAGUGAUGGCCCCUGUCAAAAAGGGUAAGCCUGACCUCAAAAAGAAAAGAAGGUCAUGCCUGUUGUCAUUGUAACGCAGCGGAGGCCAUGGCACAGAAAGGAUGGUGUCUAUAUGUUCUUUGAAGGACGAGGAGGUUCUGCCGGAAAUAAGUUCCAGAUGUCGCUGGGUAUGAAGGGCCGUCUCAACCGGUUUCCCACUGCUUGUGUUGGGAUAUGGUGAUGGGGAUACGGUGAUGGCCCCUGUCAAAAAGGGUAAGCCUGACCUCAAAAAGAAAAGAAGGUCAUGCCUGCUGUCAUUGUAACGCAGCGGAGGCCAUGGCGCAGAAAGGAUGGUGUCUAUAUGUUCUUUGAAGGUAUCUCUUUUAUUAUAAAACUCCGCUUGUAUUUUUUUUCUAGUUACCAAAAAAAUUAUCAUAGCAAUGCUUUGUCAUCUUUUAACGCAUCCGUUGAUCAGUAGCACCCACUAGAUCUGAUAGUUAGAUCUGAUAGUUAGAUCUGAUAGUUGAUACUUCAGUUUUGGUGGCGAGCCAAGACCGAGCACUAAUACUUAUUUGAUUAUGUCGGUUAUGAUAUCUGUACCAAUCACCAGAUGUUAGCUGGUGCACAAUGCUACUGCACAAUUGGUAACGGAACUUUUUGAUUUUUUGAUAGAUAUGAUUGUUCGUAAUUGCUUUAAGCAUGCUACCAUGUGUUUUUUCCACACAAUACAAUUUUCUAUUGGCUUCUGUGAUUUGAUGAAAUUAUUGAAUUUUUGAGCUGAUAUGUUCACCUUAUUUAUUAUUUUGCUGUCUGAGAUUUUGAAUGUUUGUAGCUUGUAUUGCUAAAUCAUCUAUUAUGUCCAUCGAAACAUCAGAGAAGUUUUUUUUGGUAUCACAUCUUUUUUGCUUUCUCCAUUUGCAAGAGAGUUUUGAUCCAUUUGAUGAUGAUAGAGAGAUUUUUUUCUGAGUGAAAAUCUCUGUAACUUGUUGGAGCGAACCCAUCAUGUUUUGUAUAUUGUAAGUGAAUGUCACAAAGAAAGUCUUUGGAUGUUAAUGUUUCUUUUGAAAGUGCAAUACUUUAAGGAAGUACUUCGACCUAGAAACAGUCUCAUAUUCUAUUGCCUGAGGAAGCAAUGUUGUUGCUGUUACCUUUUGGAAUUGAACAUGAGACAUGCAUAUUCCUUUAUUCUUUUGGUUUUUAUUUAAACUAAGAAUCAGAGAAGACAUGUUGUUUUCUACCCAACUGCUUGUUACUACAAGGAGUGGCUAGUGUUAGGUGUGACGAAGGAGAUUUUUGUGGGUGAUAAUCUCCUUAACUUGUUGGAGCAAACCAAUCAUGUUUGUAAAUUCCUAAGUAAACAUCACAUAGAAAGUCUUUGGGUGUUGAUGGUUCUUCUAGAAAGUUCAACCUUUCAGAAAGUUCCUCCACCUGAUGGCAGUCUCAUAUUCCAUCGCCUGGAGAAGCAGCAUCGCUGCCAUUACCUUUCGGGACUGGCCAUGAGACAUACAUACACCUCUAUUCUUUUUUUUUUAUAUUUAAACUAAGCAUGGAGUAGAUGAUUCAUUUUUUACCUAGUUGCUUCUUGCUACAAUGUGUGGGUGGCUAGUGUUAAGCGUGACGAAGGAGAUUUUUCUGGGUGAAAAUCUUCUGAACUUUUUGGAGCAAACCAAUCAUGUUUGUAAAUUCCUAAGUAAACGUCACAUAGAAAGUCUUUUGGGUGUUGAUGGUUCUUCUAGAAAGUUCAAUCCUUUCAGAAAGUUCCUCCACCUGAUGGCAGUCUCAUAUUCCAUCGCCUGGUGAAGCAGCAUCGCUGCCAUUACCUUUCGGGACUGGCCAUGAGACAUACAUACACCUCUAUUCUUUUUUUCAAAUUUAAACUGAGCAUGGAGUAGAUGAUUCAUUUUUUUCCUAGUUGCUUCUUGCUACAAUGAGUGGGUUGCUAGUGUUAAGCGUGACGAAGGAGAUUUUUCUAGGUGAAAAUCUUCUUAACUUUUUGGAGCAAACCUAUCAUGUUUGUAAAUUCAUAAGUAAACCUCCCAUAGAAAGUCCUUUGGGUGUUGAUGGUUCUUCUAGAAAGUUCAAUCCUUUCAGAAAGUUCCUCCACCUGAUGGCAGUCUCAUAUUCCAUCGCCUGGGGAAGCAGCAUCGCUGCCAUUACCUUUCGGGACUGGCCAUGAGACAUACAUACAUAUCUAUUCUAUUAUAUUUUUAUUAAAACUAAGCAUAGAGUAGAUGUGUUAUAUGUUUUUACCCAACCACUUCCCACUACAAGGAGUGGGUGGCUAGUGUUAAGUGUGACGAAGAAGAUUUUUCUGGGUGAAAAUCUUCUUAACUUGUUGGAGCAAACCAAUCAUGUUUUUGUAAAUUCCUAAGCAAACGUCAUAUAUAAAGUUCUUAGGUGUUGAUGGUUCUUCUAGAAAGUUCAAUCUUUUGAGGAAGUUCCUCCACCUGAUGAUGGUCUCAUAUUCCAUCGCCUGGAGAAGCAGCAUCGCUGCCAUUACCUUUCGGGACUGGCCAUGUGACAUACAUACAUCUCUUUUCUUUUAUUUUUUUAUUUAAACUACGCAUAGAGUAGAUGUGUUUCAUUUUUUACCCAGCUGCUUCUUGCUACAAGGAGUGGGUGGCUAGUGUUAAGUGUGACGAAGGAGGUUUUUCUGGGUGAAACUCUUCUUAACUUGUUGGAGCAAACCAAUCAUGUUUUUGUAAAUUCCUAAGUAAACGUCAUAUAGAAAGUUCUUGGGUGUUGAUGGUUCUUCUUGAAGUGCAAUCUUUCUAGGAAGUUCCUCCACCUGAUGGCAGUCCCAUAUUCUAUGGCCUGGAGGUGCAGCAUUGGUGCCAUUACCUUUCAGGACUGGCCAUGAGACAUACAUGCACCUCUAUUCUUUUGGUUUUGUUUUUUAAAUUUAAACUAAGAAUAGUGUAGACAUGUUGUUUCAUUUUUAAUCGAACUGCUUCUUGCCACAAGGAAUGGCUAGUGUCAGCUGUGACAGAAGGAGAUUUUCUGGGUGAAAAUCUCCUUAACUUGUUGGAGCAAAUCAAUCAUGUUUGUAAAUUCCUAAGUAAACGUCACAUAGAAAGUCCUUGGGUGUUGAUGGUUCUUCUUGAAAGUUCAAUCCUUUCAGGAAGUUCCUCCACUGGAUGACGGUCUCAUAUUCCAGCUCCUUGAGGAGCAACAUUGCUGCCAUUACUAUUUGGGACUGGCCAUGGGACAGACAUGCACUUUCUCUUUUGUUUCUUGAUUAAACUAAUCAUCACUAGAUGCAUGCUGUUUCCCACCUUGCUUCUAUAUGCACGUCUGUUUUAUGGUAACUUGAAAAGCAAUUUAAGUAGCAUAAUGUCUUAUUUUUAAGUCUUCACCAUUGUAUGUUUAACAACUUUUAGACUCUUGCUUAUAGGCCCUACAAUUAAAGAAUGUCUUGUAGUUCAUCACAUUCUUCAUUCGCUUCUUAUGUUUUUGAAGUUGCUUCCCUACCGGAUGAGUGGCCUCCAUUGGGUCAUUUCUCAGUGAGAAGCAUACAUUUAACAUGGCCAGUAUUAAACAGCAUGGUGCUUUUUAUUGUUGCAUUGUGUUACCUGUCUCCUGGUAAAUGUCAAAUUAAAGAAGCAUACAUAUGCUGGCUGUUUAAACUUUAGGCGGAAAGCACUUUGAAGAUUUCAUGCAAUUUAAGUACCUUGUGUCCGCUGUUGCAUGCAUGAGUUAGUUUUAGCUAGAUGAUGUGUAUUCUAUCAUGGUACAUGCUUUUGGUUUCAUUAGCUAUAUUUUCAGUAACCUGGCUGUUUACCAUUGUGACCUCAUUGUCUCGGCACCUCAACAUGCCCCAUGAAAUCAACAUGGCUCCUGUUUUUUGGGGAUGUCGCCCAGUCUAUUACACUUGGAUGAGAACCAUAUAGCCACUUGAGAUUAUCAAACGUCAAUCUAUUACACUCAUAGAAGAAUUGUGGUUAUGUAGUCACGGCUACUUUUCAUCAUGCAUUUGCUGUGUGAUAAUGAAACAGCUGUUUUUGGCUAUUUAAUGAGCCUAAUUCAUCAUAAAAGCCUAUUAAAUAUUUAUAAUUUUAAACGAAGGCAUGUAAGGAAUUGGUUGGGAAUUGGCAUUAAAACCCUCCUCCUUGUGACCCUAUUUAUUACAAGCACAUGCACGUCAAUCGAUCAGUUGGUCUUCAACUCUUGAAUUGGUCCCGAGCUUUAGGACCCAAACAAAAAAUUGAAUUGGGUCGAGGCCACUCAUAUUCUGAUCCGGUCUGAUCUAUUUGCACCCUAGUGAUAUCCUCUGCAUUCAUGGCCAUGCUAGCUUUUAAGAACUAAUAAUAAUAUAGAAUUGAAGGGUGGUAAUAUGUAUGUGCGAGAAUCGAUCCAAUUGGCCCGUUCCGAAUUGAAGCCGGCAAUGCCCAUCAACUCCAAUCGAAAAAAAACCAAAAAAAUUUCCUCUGCCCGAUCCUCCGGCUGUUGGAUAAGGCCACAGCAAUCGGGCUGGCAAAAAUCGACGGUCGGCCUUAUCCUUUUGCCGACCGAAUUUAAAGCAUUUUGAAAUCAUUCAAAUACCUCUCAUCCCUUGCAAUGGAACACCACCGAGCUCCCUCAUCUUUUCUUCCUCACCUCCGGUUGCCAUCGUGUCGCCGUAGCCGAGCUCCGCCACCCCCCAAACCCCCCUUCUUUCUCUAGCUCCCAGGUGCCCUGUUCCAAGCUUCAUCAGCCUCUCUUCUCGCCGGAAUCCGGAACUCAUUAUAUAUAACAAAAUAGGGUCCACACAAGUGAUUAUCUUCAUACCAAAAUAUUUCUCACAUAUCCUAGAUUUGCAUGCAUACCAUAAUUGAGAAACAAUCUAAAUAGUAAUACUCUCUAAAUCAGUCAUUCUCCCAGAUAUGUGUGCAGAAUUUUAAACUUAUCAUAAAUCAAUCUUUUCCCCUCACACCCCGCCCCUUCUCACUUAGGGAAUUCACAUGCAAAUUGGUUUGGAUUGGGAAGAAAUAUUGCAGCUUAUAAAUGUGGACAGCUUUUUUUAUGAGCCUAGAAGGACAACUCCAAUGAGCCUUUCUGAAUAUUUGAAUUUCAACCACAUCACUACUUUGAAUAGAAGCCUGAUGGGUCCUCCUCUAUCUUCAAAAAAAAAAAAAAA